CCUGGUAAUUAUUGCGAAAGGGCAAUACCCGAUCCAUUUCGAACUCGGAAGUCAAGCCUUUCUGCGCCGAUGGUACUUUGCCUUAAGGUAUGGAAGAGUAGGUCGUUGCCAGGC
rfam:Alpha proteobacterium HIMB114 HIMB114_HIMB114, whole genome shotgun sequence.